CUUGUUUGGCCUCGGCUGCAUCAGAGCGCCACUUCUCCCCAGGUUCACCAGAGGAAACGCCACUGCACACAAUGCUUUCCCUCCCAGCUGCUGCUCUAUGCUGUCUGUGUUCAGCGCUGGUUGCCAUGGCAGCAGAGCUGAUUCAGGAUGAUUUAACAUUGACCAGGAGAGUUGGUGAAGCUGUCUCCUUCAGCUGUGGAGGAACUGACCAGUGUUAUGACAGUUAUGUAUACUGGUACCAGAAGAAAGAAA